rnacentral:tRNA from 1 species
UGGGGAGUGGUGUAACUGGCAACACACAGGACUUUGGAUCCUGGUAUCCAGGUUCGAGCCCUGGCUCCCCAGCCA